UAUAUCUGGGUAUACACUGUGGUAUCACAAGGGCCACCCAGAACUGGCUCAACUCCCGUCAAGCCAAGUUCCCGGAAGAGAUCACCCAGCUCGUCUUGCUAGAGCACUUUUUCAAUGUGCUCCCAAACGAGAAGGCGACAACGCAUUCGUAUGUCAAUCCAUAUCAACUUUCGAUGCCUUUGACUGCGCCUACCAUGGUGACCAAGGUUAAUGGGGAAUCAGGGUUUGAUUCCAUACAGGGACCCUGACAAACAGCUACCACAUGCAAGGAAGGCAGCAAGCGCACAAAUUACCCACUCCCAACGCGGGAAGGUAGUAA